GCUCUUACAAAACUUAUUUCAUACGUCACCAAGCAAUCAUGCACGCGCCAAUACACAUAUAUACGUACAAUCCCAGAGGAAAGCCAAACACCAGAUAUACUUAAAAGUCAAAGUCGAAGUCGGGUUCCUCUACGGAACCGCCAUCGUCUAGAUUAAUUGAGUUGAAGAGAUCAGCUACCGCUUCUCCAGUAUCUAUCGCGUCACUGAUAUGCCCGCUGACAGACAAUGUGCGCUGGAAUUUACUCCUGGACGGCUGAUCUCUCCCGCGACCAUCAUCCUCGUUCUUGUUGACAUCCAGUGGGUUUGCGCAGCACGGGUGGAGGCACAGCUUGCUGCUGUGGUAGUGGAAUCCCAGCACGGCGUUGCCACAGGCGUCGCACACCAGCCUGCCGCCGUCCUUGGGGCCCUGGAACCGGAGCACCAGCUCGACGUUCUUAAGCAGCGGGUGCACAAGCUUGGUUCCUUGGUCCAAGGCGCACUGCUUGUGGAGGUCAAAGUCGCAUGCAUGGCACCUGUACCUUUCCUCCGUGCCGGGCUCACACGAAGUUGGAGAGGCCAGGGGCGCACAGCGUCAGCAUGUGUUCCAAGUGGGCCGAGUGGGAGAUCAAGCCUGAGGAGGCCAUGAUCUUGGUCCCUUGGCCCCAGGCGCACUGCUUGUGGAGGUCAAAUUUGCAGGCCCGGCACCUGUACCUCUCGCCCAACCCGCUCUUACCGCAGCCAUUGCACACGAACUUCCAGUAGUCAGUCGCCUCCAGCGACAGCUUGUGCCCCCAAUGAUCGGGGUGCGAGAUGGAGCGUGGGAAAGCCAUGAUCUUGGUUCCUUCUUCCAAGGCGCACUGCUUGUGGAGGUCGAACCUGCAGGCCCGGCACCUGUACCUCUCGCCCGCGCCUCUCUCA
rnacentral:lncRNA from 1 species